CACAGAACUGCACUUGGGGACAAACACUAUUACGCCACCAGGCACACCCCAUCAUAACAUCCACACUUCGAAUGUGGGCACAUGUGAGGAACCACUAACAUAUAUCCCCAUACCCAUCACCCCUUUAUCCACUCACCCAAAACCCGCUAUUCUCACCAGGAGAACACGAUAAAUCAAAUAAACUUUACCAUGACUCCCCCUACCUGACAUUGGGAACCUUGGUAGAUGGGUCUAGAGUAAAACCACUUCAAACUUUAAUCUCAGUAGAUAAUGCCUCAGCACUACAAAAAUUCCAGUAUAAUCAACUCCUACAUUUUAUUAAAACGGGGUCGCUGGCACAGGGCACACACCGAGACCACACAAUCUUUGAACAACACUGUGAAACACAAACCAUAAAAAAGAAACUUAUUUC